GCAUCCAUGGAGCAGUAGUUAGCUUAUUCCUCUCCCAUCGUACCUACAGAUGGUCAAGUGGUAAGGAAAGACCCGGGUGCAAAUCCCGGUGGAUGCA
rnacentral:tRNA from 1 species